rnacentral:rRNA from 1 species
GUCUACGGCCAUGCCACCCUCAACAAGCCUGAUCCUAUCCGAUCUUGGAAGCUAAGCAGGAUUAGGCCCGGUUAGUACUUAGAUGGGAGACCACCUAGGAAGACCAGGUGCUGUAGAUA